rnacentral:rRNA from 1 species
UAGGGAAUCUUCGGCAAUGGGGGGAACCCUGACCGAGCAACGCCGCGUGAGUGAAGAAGGUUUUCGGAUCGUAAAGCUCUGUUGUUAAGGAAGAACGAGUGUGAGAAUGGAAAGUUCAUGCUGUGACGGUACUUAACCAGAAAGGGACGGCUAACUACGUGCCAGCAGCCGCGGUAAUACGUAGGUCCCGAGCGUUGUCCGGAUUUAUUGGGCGUCAAGCGAGCGCAGGCGGUCAAUUAAGUCUGAUGUGAAAGCCCCCGGCUCAACCGGGGAGGGUCAUUGGAAACUGGUUGACUUGAGUGCAGACGAGGAGAGUGGAAUUCCAUGUGUAGCGGUGAAAUGCGUAGAUAUAUGGAGGAACACCAGUGGCGAAGGCGACUCUCUGGUCUGUAACUGACGCUGAGGCUCGAAAGCGUGGGUAGCAAACAGG